rnacentral:rRNA from 1 species
AUGGUGAGCGCCUUGGCAGGGGUGAUGACCUCUGUCAUCGGCAAGCUCACCACUCUGCUUGGGGAGGAGUACUCAAAGCUGAAAGGUGUGCACAGGGAGGUGGAAUUCAUGAAAGAUGAGCUGAGCAGCAUGAACGCACUCCUUCAGAGGCUGGCAGAGGUGGACCGUGAUCUUGAUGUGCAGACAAAGGAAUGGAGGGACCAAGUUCGGGAGAUGUCUUAUGACAUCGAGGAUUGCAUAGACGACUUUAUGAAAAGCCUUGGCCAAACUGACAUUGCUAAGAGAGCAGGGCUUGUCCAAAGUGUGAUCCAGCAGCUCAAGGCGCUGAGGAUGCGCCAUCAAAUAUCCAGCCAAAUCCAGGGGCUCAAGGCACGUGUUGAAGAUGCAAGCAAGCGACGUAUGAGGUAUAAGCUCGAUGAGCGCACCUUUGAGUGUGGCAUCUCAAGGGCCAUUGACCCUCGUCUUCCUUCGCUCUAUGCUGAGCCAGACGGGCUUGUCGGUAUUGACAAGCCAAGAGACGAGCUCAUCAAGUGCCUAAUGGGGGGGGUGGGUGCAUCGGUGCAGCAGCAAAAGGUGAUAUCUAUUGUGGGUCCUGGGGGCCUCGGUAAAACUACACUUGCGAAUGAGGUGUACCGUAAACUGGAAGGCCAGUUCCAGUGUCGAGCUUUUGUUUCUUUGUCGCAGCAGCCUGAUGUGAAGAAGAUCCUAAGAAGUAUACUCUCUCAAGUCAGCCAGCAGGAGUACGCUAACAUAGAUGUUUGGGAUGAGGAAAAGCUCAUCAAUGCAAUCCGAGAAUUUCUAAAGAACAAAAGGUAUUUCGUCAUCAUUGAUGAUAUUUGGAGUAAUCAAGCAUGGAAGAUUAUCAAGUGUGCUUUGUUUCCAAAUGAUGUUGGGAGCAAAAUAAUGACAACAACUUGCAGUAUUACUAUAGCCAAAUUAUGUUGCUCUCCUCAGCAUGAUCAUGUCUAUGAAAUAAUGCCUCUUACUGAAGCCAACUCUAAGAGUUUAUUUUUGAAACGUAUAUUUGGCUCGGGAGAUAUGUGCCCUCCUAAGUUGGAAGAAGUCUCCUCGGAGAUAUUGAAGAAAUGUGGUGGUUCACCCUUGGCGAUUAUUACAGUGGCUAGCUUGCUGGCUAAUAAAGCUAGUACAAAUGAAGAAUGGGAGAGGGUAUAUAACUCAAUCGGUUCGACACUGGAAAAAGAUCCCGGUGUAGAAGAAAUGAGAAAAACAUUAUCCCUCGGAGGACUGAGUAUAUUUCCAGAAGACUGA